GUAACUUUUAAUUAUUUAGUAAAUAUUAAUUAACCCCAGUCCCACUUUUUACAGUGUAGGUUUCAUGUAAAACGUAUGUUGAGAAAACACAAUGAGAUUGCAGAUCUGCAUUAUUAAAGCUGUUUAUUAAAACACACAGAUGAGUAAAUAUAGAGGUGAAGCAAUAUAAAGAUAAUAGUUUGCAGUGGAUAAAAACAAUUAAGAAACUACAUGAUAUGGAUAUUCUUAGUAAGUUUGUAGAUGAAAAAACCUUAAGCAACAUAUAAUAUUCAAUAAGGAAAAGAUAAGAGAGUAUAAAACUUGAGUAAUACAACAACCAAAUCUAUAUCCCUCUAUGGUAACAGAUUUUUAAUCAGAAUGACUGAACCAUAGACAAAUUUUAUUUAACCUCUGGAAAGGAUUUAGUUGGCCUCUCUGCAGAGUCUGGAUGCUCCUCCGGUCUCACUUUUGGGAGCACUCUCUCUGGAGUUCCUCAGCUGGUGUUUUCACUUCUUCUUUCAUACAGAUGGGCCUAGCAGUUAAUAGAAUUAUUCUAAGCUAUGCUAAGCUUGGGGAACUGAGGACGGCUUCCACAGAGUAAAAACAGAGAUACUAGAAAUGAAUAGAAAUAAUCAAACAUGCAUAUACUAGAAAGGAGAUUAAAAGCAUUCAAAUCAUAAGCUCUGAAGAUUUGGCCCAAAUAUUUAGUUGCCAGCUAAGAAUCCUACUCUAACUAUCACAUCUAAAUUUUAAAGACUACGUUUUUUCCAUUCUUCAGAACUGAACUCCUACCGUAACUACCUAAAAACUGAGCUCUGUCUCACAAAGAAUGUCCUGGAAUAUUGAACAUAUAAA
rnacentral:lncRNA from 1 species